AGUGGCUUAGGUUAAAACAAACCAGGGGCCUUCAAAGCCCCCAUCGUGGGUGAAGCCCCCACAGCCUCUG
rnacentral:tRNA from 1 species